GGCCCCGCCCCGUGGGCGACGCCACGUUCCCUCGUCCACUGGUGCCCCCCCUGGAGUCCCGGGAGUGCGGGGAGGGUGCCCUUCGCGUCGCGCGGAUGACAGGAUCAACCCGACGUCGGAACUGGGCAGCGACCUUAGGAGUGGAAGCCGGGCCUGUCAUCUUCCCGCGGGCCUGGCAGCAGCGUGGGGCGAUGCUGCCUGGAGAGAUGCUUCAGCCUGAGAGGUUGAAGCAAAGACAAGCCUCUGCGCCAGUCCCCCAGCUAACUGCCAGAAUUUGUUUGGAGGAGAGAAGGCCUGCUUCCAGUCAUACAGAGGAAAGGUUUUCUUUUCACAUCCAAGUUCCCCUCUUGAGCUCCCCUGCUCAGAGACCAAGUCUGGAACUCCUAUGCCUCAAGUG